rnacentral:rRNA from 1 species
UUGCUCUCGGGUGACGAGUGGCGGACGGGUGAGUAAUGUCUGGGGAUCUGCCCGAUAGAGGGGGAUAACCACUGGAAACGGUGGCUAAUACCGCAUAACGUCGCAAGACCAAAGAGGGGGACCUUCGGGCCUCUCACUAUCGGAUGAACCCAGAUGGGAUUAGCUAGUAGGCGGGGUAAUGGCCCACCUAGGCGACGAUCCCUAGCUGGUCUGAGAGGAUGACCAGCCACACUGGAACUGAGACACGGUCCAGACUCCUACGGGAGGCAGCAGUGGGGAAUAUUGCACAAUGGGCGCAAGCCUGAUGCAGCCAUGCCGCGUGUAUGAAGAAGGCCUUCGGGUUGUAAAGUACUUUCUUCGGGGAGGAAGGCGAUGGGGUUAAUAACCCUGUCGAUUGACGUUACCCGCAGAAGAAGCACCGGCUAACUCCGUGCCAGCAGCCGCGGUAAUACGGAGGGUGCAAGCGUUAAUCGGAAUUACUGGGCGUAAAGCGCACGCACGCGGUCUGUUAAGUCAGAUGUGAAUCCCCGGGUUUAACCUGGGAACUGCAUUUUAAACUGGCAGGCUUGAGUCU